AGUGAACGCUGGCGGUGGGCCUAACACAUGCGAGUCGAACGGCAGCACAGUAAGAGCUUGCUCUUACGGGUGGCGAGUGGCGGACGGGUGAGGAAUACAUCGGAAUCUACUUUUUCGUGGGGGAUAACGUAGGGAAACUUACGCUAAUACCGCAUACGACCUACGGGUGAAAGCAGGGGAUCUUCGGACCUUGCGCGAUUGAAUGAGCCGAUGUCGGAUUAGCUAGUUGGCGGGGUAAAGGCCCACCAAGGCGACGAUCCGUAGCUGGUCUGAGAGGAUGAUCAGCCACACUGGAACUGAGACACGGUCCAGACUCCUACGGGAGGCAGCAGUGGGGAAUAUUGGACAAUGGGCGCAAGCCUGAUCCAGCCAUACCGCGUGGGUGAAGAAGGCCUUCGGGUUGUAAAGCCCUUUUGUUGGGAAAGAAAAGCAGCAGGUUAAUACCCCGCUGUUCUGACGGUACCCAAAGAAUAAGCACCGGCUAACUUCGU
rnacentral:rRNA from 1 species